UAAUCGCGGAUCAGCAUGCCGCGGUGAAUACGUUCCCGGGCCUUGUACACACCGCCCGUCACACCAUGAGAGUUUGUAACACCCAAAGUCGGUGGGGUAACCUUUUAGGAACCAGCCGCCUAAGGUGGGACAGAUGAUUAGGGUGAAGUCGUAACAAGGUAGCCGUAGGAGAACCUGCGGCUGGAUCACCUCCUUU
rnacentral:rRNA from 1 species